rnacentral:rRNA from 1 species
UACGUAGGUGGCAAGCGUUAUCCGGAAUUAUUGGGCGUAAAGCGCUCGCAGGCGGUUUCUUAAGUCUGAUGUGAAAGCCCACGGCUCAACCGUGGAGGGUCAUUGGAAACUGGGAGACUUGAGUGCAGAAGAGGAGAGUGGAAUUCCACGUGUAGCGGCGAAAUGCGUAGAGAUGUGGAGGAACACCAGUGGCGAAGGCGACUCUCUGGUCUGUAACUGACGCUGAGGAGCGAAAGCGUGGGGAGCAAACAGG